GAUGAACGCUGGCGGCGUGCCUAAUACAUGCAAGUCGAGCGAAUGGAUUAAGAGCUUGCUCUUAUGAAGUUAGCGGCGGACGGGUGAGUAACACGUGGGUAACCUGCCCAUAAGACUGGGAUAACUCCGGGAAACCGGGGGUAAUACCGGAUAACAUUUUGAACCGCAUGGUUCGAAAUUGAAAGGCGGCUUCGGCUGUCACUUAUGGAUGGACCCGCGUCGCAUUAGCUAGUUGGUGAGGUAACGGCUCACCAAGGCAACGAUGCGUAGCCGACAUGAGAGGGUGAUCGGCCACACUGGGACUGAGAUACGGCCCAGACUCCUACGGGAGGCAGCAGUAGGGAAUCUUCCGCAAUGGACGAAAGUCUGACGGAGCAACGCCGCGUGAGUGAUGAAGGCUUUCGGGUCGUAAAACUCUGUUGUUAGGGAAGAACAAGUGCUAGUUGAAUAAGCUGGCACCUUGACGGUACCUAACCAGAAAGCCACGGCUAACUACGUGCCAGCCGCCGCUGUAA
rnacentral:rRNA from 1 species